rnacentral:lncRNA from 1 species
AGGAUACUGAAUGUUGGAAAUAGACCUGCACAAGUCUCCUGUUUUUCCCUGCUUUGGAUAUUUUUCUUCCUGACUGAUUCGCAGCGCGGCUGAAGGUGUUUCCUGCGUGUUGAGACGUUACCUCUCUUGAACCGACAGACAGUCUGUUUUGCAGCCUCUGCUUAUGAGUAAACAGUCGGCUGCGGAAGGAGCUGCGUGAAAUCAGAUUAACCUGCGCGUCAGCCGGAGUCAGACUGAAGGUGUGAAGGUGAACAUCUGGGGGGUGUGGAGGGAAACAGACGCCGGUUCCUCCCGGGCGCCCGAGGCGGCGGCGGCUGAGGUGCGCUGUUGGAGGCCAGUGUCGGUGUGGACCAGAGCCGGACCCGUCCCUGUCUGUCCGUCCAGGGGAACCGGCAGGGCCCGUUUGCCUCACGGAACAAAAGCUGCUCGGGUCCUAUUUCCUCAACGGCGACCGCGGCGGAAAGCGAAGCGGGACGCGUGCGGAGGGUCCACUCGUGCCGCUGUGGGUGAGAGUGGGCGCAGAGUGACGCCGUUAGUCACUGAGUGGGAGCGCGUUGUGCAACCUGCCUCUGAUCGCUGCCCGGCGUAUUAUUCCUCCCACGCGUUCCCGUUCUAUUAAAGCGCUUUUGUGUGUGAAACGCAAACAUGUCACAGCCGUCGACUGCAUGUCUUCCCUCGCGCCGGCUCCGCUUUCAAAUGUCUGUGAGAGCGCGACGCCUCACGUGUUGAAAAGACGGCAGCAUAUUACUGGAUUAUCCCAUCUGAAAUGAAAUCUCUGGCUUCAUUUAUUUAUUUUAUUCUUUAUUGUUGAGGCUUGUUUGCUGUGGUGACUAUGCAAAUAUCAGCCUGUGCUUUCAUUCUAUGGAGCAUUGUCCUGUACGUGAUCCCACGACUGAGAGACAUGUUGCGGUGGAUCUGAUGGAUGAUACGUCCUGUGACGUUUAAGUCUGAAGUGAUUUUGUGUCUAAGCGAAGCCAGUGACGCGCUUUUACCCUCAGCGAUUUAACAAUGAGGUGAGAUGACAUCUGGACUCAGUGGCGUGAAGAGCGCCUGCAUUAGAGACCAUUCAUUCGUUCAUAUCAUAGAGAAACACCAGCUCUCACCCUGUCUCCUGACUUUCAAUCCAGACAGGUGUGUCUUUCCUGCCACAAACGUCCCCUGAGUCCGACUCAGACGUCGGUGCUUGACUUGCAGCCACUAACUGUUAUCAGUGACCCACAUAUUUCCUCUCUCAAGUUCCGACCCCGCUUGCGUCCUGCAAACUGUGUCUGUGCAGCGCUGACCCAGAAACCCGCCCCCAUCGGGUUCCAGUGGCUGCACGUAUCCGCCGCCACUGGCGGCCGCGGCGGUGAAAUCAGUCGCUCUAAGCGGCGGAUUUGGCCGCAUCCAUGUUAAACGUCUGCGUUCUUCCAUCAUCCUCCGAUCUGGCGUGUGUCGCCCUCUAUCGCGCUCGCGAUAUUAAUAUUUCGCAGCAGAAGAAGUCGUGCGUUAGCAUUAUGUAGAUCGUUCCUCCCACAGUAUCUGGCCUGCGCUCAUGUUGUCUUAUUAUUCUUCACAUGAGGGUCCUUUCGGACUCUGGGACAGAACCUCUCUAUGAGUCAUGCUCCGGCGUUGACAUGUAACUCCGUUGGGAUCCAGACAUUUUAACAAGCGCGUACGAGGCGUCGCCUCCACUCAUGCUCAGCUCGCGAGGGAGGAAACGCGCGGAUGACUUCCUCCGGAGGCCCUGCGUCUCGGGGCCGCGUGCGCUCCCCGCUCGCCGCUCUGACUCACAGGCUUCCACUUCUCCUCUGUCCGGCUCGCCGUCCCUCAUUUAGCCCCUGAGCACCGGCCGUGCCUGUGACCCCCGCUCAGAGUCAGAGCCCACGACAAGGACAGCUGGUUAUUAUCAAUCACACCAGCAGUCGCCUCAUUGUAACCAACUGCAGUCCAUGUAAAGUCUCCUUUAGGUUCACACGCACAUCUGGCCAGAGCUGUAAAGCGUUGGUGUGUUGGCUCUAAUGGCUUCAUGGAGAUGUGAGGUAAGAGGAGCCAUCACCGCCUGGUGCAGAGUGUUUCUGUAAGUGGAUGGAGCAGCGUUACGGCCUUUUCCAGAAAACCCGUUUCCACAAAGCGAACCUCUCCUCGUCCUCGUCUCCGCUGGGAAUUAAAAUGCCUCCGUUGGACGGCAACGUCCGCCGCCGAGGCUGACAGCGACCCGCUGGAGGGUCAAUUCGCCUCACUGGGGACCUGCUGUAGAUAAAUGAUAAAUAAAUGAUAAAUAAAUGCUUUUUUUUCCA